AGUGGAAUCACCCGGAAAGGUUUCCACGUUCUUGGGCUCACGCUCCACCCCAGGAAACUCUGAUUCCUAGUGGCCCUUCCCUGUCUGAGUCAACCAUGGUCUGGAAUCAAAUGGUUCUACUGCUGAGAAAUCAUCAGAAGGUCUAUAGUAACCUAGGGAAAUGUCCCAAAGGCCUGUGCCUGCGUUAUUCACCUCACUUCAUCUCAUCAUGUGAGCACUUUAUUAUCCCUCAUCAUUACAAGGGAACAGAUCUGGACGGAAGGGUUUUACUCCAUUGGAAUUCUCUACUCUGAAAAUCUUCUCUGGUCGGAUGAGAAUAAUUCAGAUUACAAGAAAGAAUACAGCAUGAAACAAUUUUAGCAGCAGCCAGACUCCUGAAUUGGUUCACCCACCCUGGAUGGGUGGUACCCAGUGAGAAAAUGGCAGAACCCAGGCCAGCACUGAAUAGAAUGAAUAAGCCACCAGGUUGGACAUACUCACAGCCUCCAAAUCAGCUAUUGCCCACGGACGUGUUUUCUUGGGUUCCCACAGUAUUCUCGACAAAACAAUGCAUACAGUCUUCUCACAGUUUACUCUGUGCCUUCUACUCACUAAUGCUUCACACAGUUCUGCUUCCACAACCUUGACGUUCUUCAUGAUUUCCUCACUGAUAUCAGGAAACACACUGAUGAAGGAAACCCACAGAGGAGAUUUGUUCAACUCAAGAAGCACUUGUUGAAAACUGAUUUGUUCAUCUCAAGAACAAAUGUUGUCAGUUGGAAACCGACAAGCGUGUAGUGCUGGAGAA